rfam:Emticicia oligotrophica DSM 17448 plasmid pEMTOL02, complete sequence.
AACAGGGUAGCCGAAAACUGUAGAUAGAGUAGGUA